rnacentral:rRNA from 1 species
GACGGAGGAUGCAAGUGUUGUCCGGAAUCACUGGGCGUAAAGCGUCUGUAGGUGGUCAAAUAAGUCAACUGUUAAAUCUUGAGGCUCAACCUCAAAAUCGCAGUCGAAACUAUUAGACUAGAGUAUAGUAGGGGUAAAGGGAAUUUCCAGUGGAGCGGUGAAAUGCGUAGAGAUUGGAAAGAACACCGAUGGCGAAGGCACUUUACUGGGCUAUUACUAACACUCAGAGACGAAAGCUAGGGUAGCAAAUGGG